rnacentral:tRNA from 1 species
GGUCUCGUCGUCUAACGGUUAGGACAUCAGGUUUUCAUCCUGACAAUUCGGGUUCGAUUCCCGGCGAGAUCACCA